rnacentral:rRNA from 1 species
CCCUUAGAUGUUCUGGGCCGCACGCGCGCUACACUGAAGGGAUCAGCGUGUUUUCCCUUCCCGAGAGGGACGGGUAACCCGCUGAACCCCCUUCGUGGUAGGGAUCGGAGCUUGCAAUUGUUCUCCGUGAACCAGGAAUUCCCAGUAAGCGCAAGUCAUAAGCUUGCGUUGAUUACGUCCCUGCCCUUUGUACACACCGCCCGUCGCUACUACCGAUUGAACGUUUUAGUGGGGUAUUUGGACUGGGCCUUGGGAGGUUUCGGCCUCCCUUGUUGCUCGGAAAGACUCCCAAACUUGAGCGUUUAGAGGAAGUAAAAGUCGUAACA